rnacentral:rRNA from 1 species
UACGUAGGGUGCGAGCGUUAAUCGGAAUUACUGGGCGUAAAGCGUGCGCAGGCGGUGAUGUAAGACAGAUGUGAAAUCCCCGGGCUUAACCUGGGAACUGCAUUUGUGACUGCAUCGCUGGAGUGCGGCAGAGGGGGAUGGAAUUCCGCGUGUAGCAGUGAAAUGCGUAGAUAUGCGGAGGAACACCGAUGGCGAAGGCAGCCCCCUGGGUUAACACUGACGCUCAGGCACGAAAGCGUGGGGAGCAAACAGG